GAUGAACGCUAGCGGGAGGCCUAACACAUGCAAGCCGAGCGGUAUUUCUUCUUCGGGAGAGAGAGAGCGGCGUACGGGUGCGGAACACGUGUGCAACCUGCCUUUAUCUAGAGGAUAGCCUUUCGAAAGGAAGAUUAAUACUCUAUAAUAUAUUAAUUUGCAUCAAUUGAUAUUGAAAACUCCGGUGGAUAGAGAUGGGCACGCGCAAGAUUAGCUAGUUGGUGAGGUAACGGCUCACCAAGGCAAUGAUCUUUAGGGGGCCUGAGAGGGUGAUCCCCCACACUGGUACUGAGACACGGACCAGACUCCUACGGGAGGCAGCAGUAAGGAAUAUUGGUCAAUGGGUGCAAGCCUGAACCAGCCAUCCCGCGUGAAGGAUUAAGGUCCUAUGGAUUGUAAACUUCUUUUGUAUAGGGAUAAACCUACCCUCGUGAGGGUAGCUGAAGGUACUAUACGAAUAAGCACCGGCUAACUCCGUGCCAGCCGCCGCAGUAA
rnacentral:rRNA from 1 species